rnacentral:rRNA from 1 species
CUACGGGUGGCAGCAGUGAGGAAUAUUGCACAAUGGGGGGAACCCUGAUGCAGCAACGCCGCGUGGAGGAUGACGCAUUUCGGUGUGUAAACUCCUUUUAUAUGUCAAGAAAAUGACGGUAGCAUAUGAAUAAGCACCGGCUAACUCCGUGCCAGCAGCCGCGGUAAUACGGAGGGUGCAAGCGUUACUCGGAAUCACUGGGCGUAAAGGACGCGUAGGCGGGUUGGAAAGUCAGGUGUGAAAUCCUACAGCUUAACUGUAGAACUGCACUUGAAACUUCUAAUCUAGAGGAUGGGAGGGGGAGAUGGAAUUAGUGGUGUAGGGGUAAAAUCCGUAUAUAUCACUAGGAAUACCUAAAGCGAAGGCGAUCUCCUGGAACAUUACUGACGCUAAGGCGUGAAAGCGUGGGGAGCAAACAGGAUUAGAUACCCCCGUAGUC